GAUAAACGCUGGCGGCGUGCCUAACACAUGCAAGUCGAACGCCCUUUUGCGCAAGUGAGAGGGAGUGGCGGACGGGUGAGUACCACGUGGGUACCUACCUUGAGGUGAGGAAUACCACCGAGAAAUCGGUGACAAGACCGCAUACGCUCGGGCAACCGAGCAAAGUCAUGCAAAUGACGCCACAAGAUGAGCCUGCGCCUGAUUAGCUGGUUGGUGAGGUAACAGCUCACCAAGGCGACGAUCAGUAGCUGGUCUGAGAGGAUGAUCAGCCACACUGGGAUUGAGAACGGCCCAGACUCCCGU
rnacentral:rRNA from 1 species